rnacentral:rRNA from 1 species
GUGGGGAAUAUUGGGCAAUGGAGGCAACUCUGACCCAGCAACGCCGCGUGAAGGAUGAAGGUUUUCGGAUUGUAAACUUCUGUCGCGAGGGACGAAGAAUGACGGUACCUCGUAAGAAAGCCCCGGCUAACUACGUGCCAGCAGCCGCGGUAAUACGUAGGGGGCAAGCGUUGUCCGGAAUGACUGGGCGUAAAGGGAGUGUAGGCGGCUUGGUAAGUUAGAUGUGAAAUCCCGCGGCUUAACCGUGGAACUGCAUCUAAAACUGUCGAGCUGGAGUGCAGGAGAGGUAAGUGGAAUUCCUAGUGUAGCGGUGGAAUGCGUAGAUAUUAGGAGGAACACCGGAGGCGAAGGCGACUUACUGGACUGUAACUGACGCUGAGGCUCGAAAGCGUGGGGAGCAAACAGGA